rnacentral:rRNA from 1 species
GUGAGGAAUAUUGGUCAAUGGGCGAGAGCCUGAACCAGCCAAAUCGCGUGAAGGAUGAAGGUAUUAUGUAUUGUAAACUUCUUUUAUCGGGGAAUAAAGUGCGGGACGUGUCCCGUUUUGUAUGUACCCGAAGAAUAAGGAUCGGCUAACUCCGUGCCAGCAGCCGCGGUAAUACGGAGGAUCCAAGCGUUAUCCGGAUUUAUUGGGUUUAAAGGGUGCGUAGGCGGACUGUCAAGUCAGCGGUGAAAGUCAAUGGCUCAACAAUGGAAUUGCCGUUGAAACUGUCGGUCUUGAGUGUAGAUGAGGUAGGCGGAAUUCGUAGUGUAGCGGUGAAAUGCUUAGAUAUUACGAAGAACUCCAAUUGCGUAGGCAGCUUACCAGGCUACAACUGACGCUGAGGCACGAAGGUGCGGGGAUCAAACAGGAUUAGAAACCCUGGUAGUCC